GCCAGGCGUGGUGGCUCACGCCUGUAAUCCCGGCACUUUGGGAGGCGGAGGCGGGUGGAUCACCUGAGGUCAGGAGUUCAAGACCAGCCUGACCAACAUGGUGAAACCCCGUCUCUA
rnacentral:SRP_RNA from 1 species